rnacentral:rRNA from 1 species
GACGAACGCUGGCGGCAUGCCUAAUACAUGCAAGUCGAGCGAAUGAUGAAGAAGCUUGCUUCUUCUGAUUUAGCGGCGGACGGGUGAGUAACACGUGGGCAACCUGCCCUGUAGAUUGGGAUAACUCCGGGAAACCGGGGCUAAUACCGAAUAAUCCAUUUCCUCUCAUGGGGAGAUGUUAAAAGAUGGUUUCGGCUGUCACUACAGGAUGGGCCCGCGGCGCAUUAGCUAGUUGGUGAGGUAACGGCUCACCAAGGCGACGAUGCGUAGCCGACCUGAGAGGGUGAUCGGCCACACUGGGACUGAGACACGGCCCAG